rnacentral:sRNA from 1 species
UGCGCCUGCAAAGGAGGCAGCCCUGUUCGCAUAAAGACGUUUUGCAGGUAACAGGACAAGGUAUCCUCUCGUGAUCAGCAAUUUUGCUGAUUCAAAAUCUUUC